ACUGGCUGGAAUCAAACCCAGGACUUUUCAGUCCGCAGGCUGAUGCUCUUAUCAACUGAGCCAAAAUGGCUAUGGCCUCAAAUCAUUGUUUUAAAAAAUGAAAAAGAUUUUGAUUCUGUUCUUGGGAAGGUAGAAUAAUUUGACAAGGAUCCUGAAGCUGAGGUGUCAGUUCACUGACUAGCGUUGCUAGCGAGCUAAAAUUUCAUUGAUAGGUACUCUUUACUGCCUUUUUGGGUUAAAAUAGAUGGAGGUUUUCUAAGUUGGAAUUGCUGGCUUUACUAGGGUCUGCAGUUCUUUGCUUCUGAGUUUGUACUGUUUUCUUUAAGUACCUUUACUUUGGCACUGGUGUUCAGUGGUUGAGCAGUGACCCUUGAACCAGGUCAUGGUUUGAUUCCCGGUCACGGCACAUGCCCAGUUGUGAGUGCUUGAUCUCCAGUAGGGGGUAUGCAGGAGGCAGCCAAUUCUAUCUCUCCUCCUUUCUCUGAAAUCAAUAAAAAAUUUUUAAAAAGUAUCUUUACUUUGGAUACUGCUGAUACUAACUACUAAGGAGAGAGUAUUUUCUUAUUAAAAUUGUAGGCCCAUCUAACCCCUUGGCAUAGUUCAUAAUGUAUUAAAACUAAGAAAUUAAAGAUUUUUCAUUGGCAAUUAAUAAUUCCAUUCAGUAACAGCUGAUGCUGCUACUAGACUGGGUCAUGGACAGAUACUGUUAGUGGGGAGGUGACAUCUGGUACAACAAAACUUCAGAAGUAGCAGAUCUAUGCUACCUACUUAACAUUCCCCUUGGAUGCCUCAUAGGAUUCUCAAACCUAAAAGUAUAUUUACUGCCUGAACCUCUGUUUUCUCCCCCGUUGUGCUGCUACUUCUAAGUAAAUGGUACUGCCCCCUGGUCCAAGUCCUGGUCAAGGGGACAAUUUGCAUAUUAGCCUUUUAUUAUUAUAGGAUAAGAUUUGUAGUUAUUCUAAACAAGUACUUUUUUUCUGUACCAUUAGAUUUUAAUCUCCACUGAGGGCAGACAGUGUUUCAUUUGUUUUACUUGUUUAUUUAAAUAUUUUUUAUUGGUUUCAUAGAGGAAAGGAGAGGGAGAGGGAGAGAGAGAGAGAAACAUCAAUGAUGAGAGAGAAUCAUUAUCGACUGCUUUCUGCACAACCAUAUCGGGGAUCAAGCCCUCAACCCGGGCAUGUGCCCUGAACCCGGGCAUGUGCCCUGUCUGGAAAUUGAACCUUGACUUCCUGGUUCAUAGGUCAGCAACCACUGAACCAAGCUGACUGGGUUUGUUUUAUAUUUAGUUUAUAGUUCAAUACCUAGCACACAAUAAAUGUGGAAUAAAACAGUGAAUGUAUGAAAGAAUGAAUGAAAGCGUCCCUCAUGCCUCACAGUCUUCUCUAAGAAGUGUUUAUUGUGAGAAUGUCAUUGAUUUGGAGUUUUACAUAUCUCUACAGCCCAUAGUGUCUCCCCCCCCCCCACACACAGUGCCUUAAGAUGUGCUCAAAAUGAUGUCAUGACAAAUGAUACUUUUCCCCAUCUGCUGCUUCAAUCUUUUAUUUUUUGUUUUUUCACACCCACACCUGCCAUUUAUAUGGUCUUCUUGCUGGGAAUAAAAGGUAAAGAAUUCACAAAUAUCACCAUCUAAGCACCAGUUUCAAAUUAAACAUCACCCUUCAGCUUGCAAAAUAAUUUAUUUACAAGUAAGCAAUUGGCGGAAGAAAAUGUCAGUUCUUCUGUAGAGUAUAGAGGUAAAGUAUAGAGGAGGGGUAACUGCAUUUCAAGAUUACAGAAAGCAGUUGGAUAGAAGAGGCAGGACUGCCACUCCAGCAGACAACACAGAAGUAUUUGCCAAAUCCUGAGUUCAGAAUUUUUUCUUUUCGAGAUGGAUAUAAAAGCACCUAAAAGUCAAGGAAAAAUGUUCUUCCUAACAUGAACCAGCAGAAGCGCUGGAUGGGCUGGAAGCCGGCCCACCUGGUGCAAAGGCCAGCUUGCUGCAGAAUGCUUCAGUCCGCCAUCUAUGCUCCUUCAGAAAUCGUGCUUCAACAUUUUGAUCUUGUGUGUAUCUGUGGAUACAUUAAAGUCCCUGUUUUUAUUUCCAAGGCCAGAUUUCUCAAGCUCCUAUUUCUGAUAUUCCUGAGUUUCUUCUCACACAAAAUCAUAUAUG